UGAAUUCUACUUCAAGUCACUGAGUAUACUUCAAAUGCAUUUCCUAGGAUAUUGUAUGUUAAUAGUGUGACUUCUUUCACAAACGAACACAUAGUGAAAUCCAGACUAUCUACAGGACAUCAAAUGAGUGCACGGCCAGUCAUCAAAGAUUGGUGUCUAGUAAGCAAAUUGCCACAUAAUUCCAAAUUCCAGUCGGAACUCCACAGCUAAGGAUACUGUUAGUUGUUCAUGAUGUCCAACGGACUGUCAUAUGUAGCACUGAGUACUGCUGUAUCUGUCAUAUGUAGCAGUGAGUACUGCUGUAUCUGUCAUAUGUAGCAGUGAGUACUGCUGUAUCUGUCAUAUGUAGCAGUGAGUACUGCUGUAUCUGUCAUAUGUAGCAGUGAGUACUGCUGUAUCUGUCAUAUGUAGCAGUGAGUACUGCAGUAUCGAAUCUGAGAAUGAACCCUCUUCCUGCUUAGCCUCUUCCUACAGUAGCUCAACUUGUUGAUCGCAUAUCAUAUUCACUGUUUGAAUUACUAUUUUGAAACCCAG